GUGCCAGCCGCCGCGGUAAGACAGAGGCCCCAAGCGUUAGGCGGAAUCACUGGGCUUAAAGCGUGUGUAGGCGGACUUCUAAGUGCCUUGUGAAAUCCCACGGCUCAACCGUGGAACUGCUGGGCAUACUGGGAGUCUUGGGCCAUUCAGGGGCAACUGGAACAAGCGGUGGAGCGGUGAAAUGCGUAGAUAUCGCUUGGAACGCCGAAGGUGAAAACAGGUUGCUGGGGAUGUGCCGACGCUGAGACACGAAAGCCAGGGGAGCAAACGGGAUUAGAUACCCCGGUAGUCC
rnacentral:rRNA from 1 species